ensembl:lncRNA
GUUUCUUUCUCUUUUUUUAAACUUUAAUUAAUUAAUUUAUUUUUAUUUUUGGCUGUGCUGGGUCUUCGCUGCUGCGUGUGAGUUUCUCUAGUUGCGGUACAUGGGCUUCUCAUCCCGGUGGUUUCUCCUGCUGUGUGCCACGAGCUCUAGGACACACACGGGCUUCAGUAGUUGUGGUACACAGGCUUAGUUGCUCUGAGGCCUGUGGGAUCUUUCCUGACCAGGGAUCAAACCUGUGUCUCUUGCAUUGCAAGGCAGGCUCUUAACCACUGGACCACCAGAGAAGCCCCAUUCAACUGCUUCUUCAGUGCUCUUUUCCAUGCUGCAGUGAGAUCUUUAUUUUAGAAAUAACGCAUGCCCUCUGUAGGCACCUAAAUGCGAUGCAUUGGAGAAGGCAAAGAAGCUUGAGUACCUGUUAUGCCAUCGGAUCUGAGUUAAACAUUUUAUAUACAUUAUGUCAUUGAACUCUGUCUACAAAACUUUAGUGGCUGUUGGUGCAUCUUUAUAGAUAGGUCAGCUGAGGUAGACAUCCAGAGUUGAUUUGAAAUAAUUAGAUCUGGGUCCAAGUCCUACCUGUACUCUACAGAGUGGAAGUGGAAGUUGCUCAGUCAUGUCCGACUCUUUGCAAACCCAUGGACUAUACAGUCCAUGGAAUUCUCCAGGCCAGAAUACUGGAGUGGGUAGCUGUUUCCUUCUCCAACUCUACAUAAGCAAUGUGGUAUUUGGAUCAUCUCUCAUUUGAGGAAUAUUAAAUAUUACAAUUGCCACCAAAAGCCAACAAUGAUGCCCCCAGUGCCAAGUCUCUGGCAGUGACUGCUUAUUGCCAAUGGAGAAUUAGAUGAAAUGACAGGGUUAACUCCCAACGGGACACCAGGCGUUGGUGACGAGAAACUAUUGCUGAUCUGGGAGACGCGUCAGUUACUCUCCUGACAGUCCGAAUGGAGUGGAGGAAGGGUUUCGUCCGUGCCUAGCAUAUUACCUCCUUUCAUCAUUUAUCAAGGCCUUUGAUGUUCUUCACGAUGUGAGUAGGAGGAAAUCAAGGUGCUUUCUUCCAACCCGAGUUUGGAAAUUCCAUUUGUGCGAAGUUUGCAAAUGACUGGGCAGAAGUGAGCUCUUCACAUGAAAAGGAGAGGCCAGCAUCAGCAUAUCCCGUAUAACUUGAGUCUGCUCUUCUUGAAGGCCUCACCAGGAUUCAAGAGGCCCCAAGGGAACGUGCGGCCUAUGGAGUGGAAAGGUUAAAUGAGUUUUAUCGUCUUCUCACAAAAACGACAAUUCUCGUGUC